AUUCCAGCUCCAAUAGCGUAUAUUAAAGUUGUUGCAGUUAAAACGCUCGUAGUCGGAUUUCGGGGCGGGCCGACCGGUCUGCCGAUGGGUAUGCACUGGCCGGCGCGUCCUUCCACCCGGAGACCGCGCCUACUCUUAACUGAGCGGGCGCGGGAGACGGGUCUUUUACUUUGAAAAAAUCAGAGUGUUUCAAGCAGGCAGUCGCUCUUGCAUGGAUUAGCAUGGGAUAAUGAAAUAGGACUCUGAUGCUAUUUUGUUGGUUUGCACAUUUAGAGAAUGAUUAACAGGGACAGUUGGGGGUAUUCAUAUUUACAUGUCAGAGGUGAAAUUCUUGGAUUUUGGAAAGAUGAACUACUGCGAAGGCAUUUACCAAGGAUGUUUUCAUUG
rnacentral:rRNA from 1 species